CCACAGAAAAGGCUAUGUAGGCAGUAAUGGGGACAUAGAUUGAGUUGUGAAGAUAAGUUACAUGCCUGAUGUGCAU
rnacentral:snoRNA from 1 species